UACAGAGGUCUCAAGCGUUGUUCGGAAUUACUGGGCGUAAAGGGUGCGCAGGCCGCGCGGGCAGUCAAAUGUGUAAUCCAGGGGCUCAACCCCUGAACUGCGCUUGAUACUUCCGCGCUCGAGCUUUGGAGAGGAGUCUGGAAUUCUCGGUGUAGCAGUGAAAUGCGUGGAUAUCGAGAAGAACACUUAGGGUGUAGGCAAGACUCUGGACAAAUGCUGACGCUCAUGCACGAAGGCUAGGGUAGCGAACGGG
rnacentral:rRNA from 1 species